ACACAAACACGUGGGGGGUGGGUUGGCUUUGGAAGAAGCUAGCCAAUUCUCUUCGUGGGCAGUUGACCUAUGAUUAGGAUUGUCUAGGCAUUGCUUGUGUGUGCACGGUGCGAGCCCAAUGCACAAGUAAGUCGAGGAUGACACUCUUAAAAGUAGCAAUGAUACCACAAAAUAUCGGUUGCCUUCAGAGUGGUGGGCGAGUGGUGAGUCGGAGUGUCAUCAGUAAAGUUUAACCUUGGUGUGCACAGUUGUUUUUAGAAACUCAAUCCAAUACCAGGGACUUUGAAAGUAACACUCUUAUGAGUUACGAACCCACAACAUCUAUGUUGCCUAGCUACCUAGAUUUCAUGGUAUUCUUAUCAUGCCUAGCCGUGUGUGCUUGGCUCCACUCAGUGUAGCUACAUUCUUCUUGGUUAGCCAUUGUGCUUGUUGAGAUGUGUGGUUCAUUUGGUGGUGUUGAGCUUUGCUAAAGCAACGGCAUGUGAGUGGUGAAUGGGUUGUAUGCACCAGCGGGCUCUUUGCUCUGGCAUUGAACUGUUGUCUCAUACACCUCGUCAUUUAUGUUUCAAGAUUGACUUGUGCGGGUUAAUGGGCUCCUGUUUUGGCUACCUAUUGUUAAGGAAUGGUGCCUCUCAUUGUCCCUUUCCUCCUCUUGCCCUUCGCGGGCAGCAGGAGGAUGUCGUAGUAGUGCUUGAGUCCCGAUUAAGCCACGCCUCAUCAUGAGAUUGUGAAGGUCCAUAAGUUUCUGCUUGUGAUCUCGGAUGAGGAGCAAUAAGUGGGCAUGGGGUCUUUGGCGUCCGAUCGUCCAAUUUGAAGCGUUUUUGCUCGACACGUACGACUGUCGUGCCUACGGUGAGCUCUCGACCCAUAAGGUCAUUUAUCUUGCACGGUGCCGACUUUGGAAAGGAACGCUACUUGGUUGAUCCUGCUAGUAGUCAUAUGCUUGUCUCAAAGAUUAAGCCAUACAUGUGUAAGUAAGAACUAACUGUGAAACUACGAAUGGCUCAUUAAAUCUGUUAUAGUUUGUUUGAUGAUAUCUACUACUCGGAUAACCAUAGUAAUUCUAGAGCUAAUAUGUGCAACAAACCCUGACUUGUGGAACGGAUGCAUUUACUAAAUAAAAGGCUGAUGAGGGCUCUACCCAUUGCUCUGAUGAUUCAUGAUAACUCGACGGAUCAUGCUGGCGACGCAUCAUUCAAAUAUCUGCCCUACGCACGCUACGACAAUCGGUGGUUGUGAAACCUCAAUUGCCUAUCGUGUGUGGUCGUUGCACAUCGAGGGCUUGAAAAAAUACUUGGCUCUGGCUUAGCUUUCAACGCAACCCCAGAUUAGGUGGGGUUACCCGGGGAGGAAAAGAAACUUACUAGGAUUUCCCUAGUAACGGCGAGCGAAUUAGGAAUAGCCUAGCUUGAGAAUCGGCGCCCAUGGCUUCCGAAUUGUAGUUUGGCGAAGCGUCCUCAGUGGUGGAUCGGGCCCAAGUCCACUGGAAGGUGGCGUUGGAGAGGGUGAGAGCCCCAUUGUGUUCAGACCCUGUCGCACCACGAGGCGCUGUCGGUGAGUCGGGUUGUUGGGGAUUGCAACCCGAGCGUACCCAUUACUGCAUCAGGUCUCCAAGGUGAACAACCUCUGGUCGAUACAACAAUGUAGGCAAGGGAAGUUGGCAAAAGGAUUGGCUCUGAGGGUUGGGCACGGAGUCCCAGUCCCGAACCCGUCGGCUAUGGGUGGACUGCACGAGCUGCUCCGACGGCUGGGGGACGAACUGGGAGCGUUCCUUCAAGGACUUUCCCUGGGUGUCGAACAACUGCCUCAGAACUUGUAUGGACAAGGGGAAUCCAACUAUUUAAUUCAAACAAAGCAUUGCAAUGGUCCCUUCAGAUGCUAAUGCAAUGUGAUUUCUGCCCAGUGCUCUGAAUUUCAAAGUGAAGAAAUUCAACUAAGCGCGGGUAAACGACGAGAGUAACUAUGACUCUCUUAAUGUAGCCAAAUGCCUGGUCAUCUAAUUAGUGAUGCGCAUGAAUGGAUUAAUGAGAUCCUCACUGUCCCUGUCUACUAUCUAGCAAAACCAUAGCCAAGGGAAUGGGCUUGGUAGAAUCAGCGAGGAAAGAAGACCCUGUUAAGCUUGACUUUAGUCAGACUUUGUGAAAUGACUUGAGAUGUGUAGUAUAAGUGGGAGCUUCGGCGAAACUGAAAUACCACUACUUUUAAAGUUAUUUUACUUUAACGGAGGCGAGUCAUCGCCCCUCUUUUUGGACCUAAGGCCGACCUUGCGUCGGCCAAUCAGGGUGGAAGACAUUGUCAGGUGAGGAGUUUGGCUAGGGCGGCACAUCUGUUAAAAGAUAGCACAUGUGCCCUAAGAUGAGCUCAACGAGAACAAAAAUCUCAUGUGGAACAAAAGGGAAAAAGCUCGUUUGAUUCUGAUUUCCAGUACGAGUACGACCCAUGAAAGCGUGGCCUAAUGAUCUUUUAGACCUUCAGAAUUUGAAGCUAGAGGUAUCAGAAAAGUUACCACAUGGAUAACUGGCUUGUGGCAGCCAAGCGUUCAUAGCGACGUUGCUUUUAUAUCCUUCUAUGUCGGCUCUUCCUAUCAUUGUGAAGCACAAUUCACCAAGUGAUGGAUUGUUCACCCACCAAUAGGGAACGUGAGCUGGGUUUAGACCGUCGUGAGGCAGGUUAGUUUUACCCCACUGAUAAUAGUGUCACAAUAGUAAUUCAACCUAGUACGAGAGGAACCAUUGAUUCGCACAAUUGGUCAUCGCACUUCUUUGAAAAGCCAGUGGAGCGAAGCUACCAUGCGCUAGAUUAUGACUAAACGCCUCUAAGUUAGAAUUUGGGCUAGAAGCGACGCAUGCGCCCACCGCCUGUUUGCCAACCCUUAGUAGGGGCCCAAGGCCCCAAAAGGCACGUGUCGUUGGUGAAGCCCUUGCCGUGAGCGAGCUGCGAGGGCCGCCUUAAAUUACAAUUUCUACCGAGCGGUGGGUAAAAUCCUUUGCAGAUGACUUAAAUACGCAAAGGGGUAUUGUAAGUGGCAAAGUGGCCUUGCUGCCACAAUCCACUGAGAUUCA
rnacentral:rRNA from 1 species